rnacentral:rRNA from 1 species
UACGUAGGGUGCGAGCGUUAAUCGGAAUUACUGGGCGUAAAGUGUGCGCAGGCGGCCGCGCAAGUCGAGUGUGAAAUCCCCGAGCUUAACUUGGGAAUUGCGCUCGAAACUACGUGGCUGGAGUGUGGCAGAGGAAGGUGGAAUUCCACGUGUAGCGGUGAAAUGCGUAGAGAUGUGGAGGAACACCGAUGGCGAAGGCAGCCUUCUGGGCCAACACUGACGCUCAUGCACGAAAGCGUGGGGAGCAAACAGG